rnacentral:rRNA from 1 species
UUAUUGGGUAUUAAAACCUAAUAGCGAAAUUAACAUAACUUUAUAAUGGGAUUAGUUUUUAGAUUUUUAAUCUAUUAAUUCAAUCCCGGGGCGUUCUAUAUAGUUAUGUAUAAUAAUAUUUAUAUUAUUUAUACCUCUAACUAGAGCGUACCUUGAGCAUAUAUGCUGUGACCCGAAAGAUGGUGAACUAUACUUGAUCAGGUUGAAGUCAGGGGAAACCCUGAUGGAAGACCGAAACAGUUCUGACGUGCAAAUCGAUUGUCAGAAUUGAGUAUAGGGGCGAAAGACCAAUCGAACCAUCUAGUAGCUGGUUCCCUCCGAAGUUUCCCUCAGGAUAGCUGGUGCAUUUAAAUAUUAUGUAAAAUAAUCUUAUCUGGUAAAGCGAAUGAUUAGAGGCCUUAGGGUCGAAACGACCUUAACCUAUUCUCAAACUUUAAAUGGGUAAGAACCUCACCUUUCUUGGUAUGAAGGUUGUGGUUGUGAUAUAAUGUGCCCAGUGGGCCACUUUUGGUAAGCAGAACUGGCGCUGUGGGAUGAACCAAACGUAAUGUUACGGUGCCCAAAUUAACAACUCAUGCAGAUACCAUGAAAGGCGUUGGUUGCUUAAAACAGCA